rnacentral:lncRNA from 1 species
CAUCUACGGCACCCGGCUGGUGGUGCUGCCCUUCCGCAGGGAGAGCCUGGCCGAGGAGCAUGAGGGGCUCGUGGGUGAGGGGUGAGCACUGGGGUCACGGCUGGGUCUGAGAGGCGUGGAGCUUGGUUCCCCUCUGUGUGGCCCACCCUGACGUCCCUGUGCCCCCAGGCAGAGGUCCAGCUUCCUGCCUAGCUAUAUCAUCGAUGUGCGGGCCCUGGACGAGAAGCUGCUCAACAUCAUUGACCUGCAGUUCCUGCAUGGCUAUUACGAGCCCACCCUGCUCAUCCUGUUCGAGCCCAACCAGACUUGGCCCGGGUGAGGCCCAGGGAUGCCCUCUUUGCUGUGGUCCCAGCUGCCUGGGCAGAGGGGACAGGGACGUGUAGCUCCCGCAGAGGGUGGAAGUGGGACCCCAGCCUUGGGGGGUGCUGCGAGUCCAGCUGACCCACCUACUACUCCAGGCGGGUGGCAGUGCGACAGGACACCUGUUCCAUUGUGGCCAUCUCACUGAACAUCACGCAGAAGGUCCACCCUGUCAUCUGGUCCCUCACCAGCCUGCCUUUUGACUGCACCCAGGCCCUGGCUGUGCCCAAGCCCAUAGGUGAGGAGGGCCCAGCAGUGCCCAGUGGUCCUGGGGGGGAGCAGUGAGCCUGCCUACCAGCCCGUGUCUGUCCCCAGGUGGGGUCGUGGUCUUCGCUGUCAACUCGCUGCUGUACCUGAACCAAAGUGUCCCCCCAUAUGGCGUGGCUCUCAACAGCCUCACUAUGGGCACCACUGCCUUCCCACUGCGUAAGUGUAGCUGACUAUUAGUGGGUGGGGCUGUGGGUGGGGCAGGGCCUCCAGCCAGCUUGACACCUUCCUCACAGGCACUCAGGAGGGCGUACGGAUCACCCUGGACUGCGCCCAGGCCGCCUUCAUUUCCUAUGACAAGAUGGUCAUUUCCCUCAAGGGUGGCGAGAUGUGAGCCCCUGGCCCUGUCUGCCCUGAGACCCCCACAUCCCCUCCCCUGCUCAUUCAGCACCCCCCACCCCUGCCCUCCAACAUCCUUCAUCCCCAGCCCUACUCAGCAGCCCGCCCCGCCCACAGCUAUGUGCUGACACUCGUCACAGACGGCAUGCGCAGCGUCCGUGCCUUCCACUUUGACAAGGCAGCCGCCAGUGUCCUCACCACCAGUGUGAGUAGGGGCAGGGGUGGAGGUCUUGCACUGGGUCCAGGUCUGGCCUCCUCUCAUCCACACGCCCGCCCUCAGAUGGUCACCAUGGAGCCUGGGUACCUGUUCCUGGGCUCGCGCCUGGGCAAUUCCCUCCUCCUCAAGUACACAGAGAAGCUGCAGGAGCCCCCAGCCAGUGCUGUCCGCGAGGCUGCUGACAAGGUGGGUGCUCAUGGUGGUGCCCAGGUGCUUGGCCACCUCCCCUUGGUGUAAAGCAGCCUGGAAAUGCUGUUCACCUCUGUCUCCCGCCUCACAGGAAGAGCCUCCCUCCAAGAAGAAGCGGGUGGACCCCACAGUGGGCUGGUCAGGUGAGAGCUGGACCGGUUGGGUGGGGUGGGUCUGGGAGCCAGGGCAAGGCUCAAGUGGGCUGUGUGCGCUACAGGGGGCAAGUCCGUGCCACAGGACGAGGUGGACGAGAUUGAAGUGUACGGCAGUGAGGCCCAGUCAGGCACACAGCUGGCCACCUACUCCUUUGAGGUGAGACUGGGGACAGCCGUGGAUGCCCGCCCCCUCCCACCACCUGACUGCCACUGUGUCUUCAGGUGUGUGACAGCAUGCUCAACAUCGGACCCUGCGCCAAUGCUGCUGUGGGCGAGCCCGCCUUCCUCUCCGAAGAGGUGCCUGGGGCCUGGGCUUGGGUUGGGGGCAGGAGCGGGGUUGGGGCAGCAUCUUUACCCCGACCUGUGCAGUUUCAGAACAGCCCUGAGCCAGACCUGGAGAUUGUGGUUUGCUCCGGCUAUGGGAAGAACGGGGCCCUAUCAGUGCUGCAGGUGUGUAGGGCAGGGGGGGUGGGCACCUGCGGGCAGCACCUGAGUAGGCUGACCCCAUCCCACCCUAUCUUCAUUCCAGAAGAGUAUCCGGCCCCAGGUAGUGACAACCUUUGAACUUCCUGGCUGCUAUGACAUGUGGACAGUCAUUGCCCCUGUGCGCAAGGAGGAGGUAGGUGGGACCCUAGGUGAUAGUGACUGUGGUGGCCUGAGGGCACCUGGAUCCAGUGGUCAUAGCCAUCACAGCUCUCUGUCCUCCCUGUCCUUGGCCCGUGCAGGAGGAGGCACCUAAGGCAGAGGGCCCAGAGCAGGAGCCGAGCACCCCUGAAGCAGAAGAUGAUGGCCGGAGACAUGGCUUCCUCAUUCUGAGCCGGGAAGACUCAACAAUGGUGAAGGGCGGGGUCUGGAUGUGGGCGUCUGGGGUUCCCCGGGGAAGGGCACAACUCACUACGUUACCUACAGAUCCUUCAGACUGGCCAGGAGAUCAUGGAACUGGACACCAGUGGCUUUGCCACACAGGGCCCCACGGUUUUUGCUGGAAACAUUGGGGACAAUCGCUACAUUGUCCAAGUGUCACCACUGGGCAUCCGCUUGCUAGAAGGAGGUAGGUGGGCAAGUGUAGGGAAGCGCGUCCUGGGGAGUAUGCUGCAUUGGCCACCCUGUGCUGACCACCCUGUGCCCACAGUGAAUCAGCUGCACUUCAUCCCUGUGGACCUGGGUGCCCCCAUCGUGCAGUGCGCUGUGGCCGACCCCUAUGUGGUCAUCAUGAGCGCCGAGGGCCGUGUUACCAUGUUCCUGCUCAAGAGUGAUUCGUAUGGUGGCCGCCACCACCGCCUUGCACUGCACAAGCCUCCACUGCACCAUGUAGGCCUCACCCUCUGUGUCUGCCAUCCCUGCCUAUGAUCCCCUAUCCCCACUGUCCCCGACCUACACUGGGCUUUGUCUCUCCCUGCAGCAGUCCAAGGUGAUCACACUCUGCCUGUAUCGUGAUGUCAGCGGCAUGUUCACCACCGAGAGCCGCCUGAGUGGGGCCCGUGAUGAGAUGGGGGGCCGCAGUGGUUCAGAGGCCGAAGGACUGGGCUCAGAGACCAGGUGUGCAGGGGGCCAGGGUGCAGGAGACCUGGGUCUCUGUGGCAGAUUGAGACAUGUCUGUGUCUUCAGCCCUACAGUGGAUGACGAGGAGGAGAUGCUCUAUGGGGACUCAGGCUCCCUCUUCAGCCCCAGCAAAGAGGAGGCCCGGAGGAGCAGCCAGCCCCCUGCUGACCGAGACCCUGCACCCUUUCGGGCAGAGCCCACCCACUGGUGCCUGCUGGUGCGAGAGAACGGCACCAUGGAGGUAGGUGCACACAUGUGGCUCAGCAGCCCUGGCAGCAUGGCAGGCCCUAUCGUCACUGACUGCUGUCCCCCACCAGAUCUACCAGCUUCCAGACUGGCGGCUGGUGUUCCUGGUGAAGAACUUCCCUGUGGGGCAGCGGGUCCUGGUGGACAGUUCCUUUGGACAGCCUACCACGCAGGGUGAGGCCCGCAAGGAAGAGGCCACGCGCCAGGGGGAGCUGCCCCUGGUCAAGGAGGUGCUGCUGGUUGCUCUGGGGAGUCGCCAGAGCAGGCCCUACCUGCUGGUGAGCCCUUUGGUGCCUGCCCAGAGGCUGGGACCUGCCCUCACAGCCCAGCCCAUUCCUCCACUCUGUCCUCGGGGCCCAGCCCCACCUCGUGGCCCACCCUGUCUCACUUCCAGGUGCAUGUGGACCAGGAGCUGCUUAUCUAUGAGGCUUUUCCCCAUGACUCUCAGCUUGGCCAGGGCAAUCUCAAAGUUCGCUUCAAGAAGGUGCAGCUGCUAGACCCUUUUGGGGUGGGUUGGGAGGGGUCCAGGCUACAGGGUCUGAAGGGCCUGGCGUUCAUCAACACCUUCACCAGGUCCCCCACAACAUCAAUUUCCGUGAAAAGAAGGCAAAACCCUCCAAGAAGAAGGCAGAAGGUGGCAGUGUGGAGGAGGGUUCUGGGGCCCGGGGACGUGUGGCACGUUUCCGCUACUUCGAGGACAUUUAUGGCUAUUCUGGGGUAGGCAGGCAGCUUUGUUUGGGCUUGGGGGUAGGGGAACAGGACCUUGCCCACAUGUUCUCACAGUGUCUGUCUCCAGGUGUUCAUCUGUGGCCCCUCACCCCACUGGCUCCUAGUGACUGGCCGGGGGGCUCUGCGGCUGCACCCCAUGGGCAUCGAUGGCCCCAUCGACUCCUUCGCCCCAUUCCACAAUGUCAAUUGUCCCCGAGGCUUUCUGUAUUUCAACAGACAGGUAGGAAGGUUAACUCUGGCCGCACCACAAGCACUGGUACUGCCCUGGCAAAGCUAGGCGCUAGGGACAGGAGGGCUCCUCAGCUGCAGCACAUCCCAGAGGACCAGGGAUGACUAUCUAGAGGAGGGUAGGGCCCAGGAGGUGGGAUCUGGGGCUUGAGGCUGGAGCAGUUGGCAGUGGAGGCCUGGCUGAUGGGGCAUACCCUGAAAGCCCUUGCCUCAUCUGUGACACCCACAUGGCAGCAAUGACCACCUGAGUCACUGACAGACUCUGGUGUUGAGUGCUUCCAAGGGGCUAAUGCACUCAGGACUGGACAGAAGCUGAGGCUGGGGCUGGCAGGGUCUCCCUCUGCCUGUGUUCUUCAGUCCCUGGCAUGGCCAGUCUCAGUCAUGUGGCUUUUAGUCUCUAGUGUCCUCUGGGCUUGGACUCCCAUGCCCUGUGCUGUAUUCCCCAGCCAGAAGGAUGGACAGGAGCCUACUGAUAGAAGGCAUGGGGACUGACGACCAAGGCUACAGCUCUUCCAGACCUUCCCCAGACUCGGUGACCCUAGCCAGGCAGUAGCGAGGCCUGCAGCCCUAGGCCUUGCUGACUAUUUCCACCCACCCCAGGGUGAGCUGCGGAUCAGUGUCCUGCCUGCCUACUUGUCCUACGAUGCCCCAUGGCCCGUCAGGAAGAUCCCACUGCGCUGCACGGCUCACUAUGUGGCUUACCAUGUGGAGUCCAAGGUCUGUCCCCUCCCCCAGCACUCCCUCCCCCAGGCACCCCAGGCGUGUGACACCAUUCAACUCCUAGGUGUACGCCGUGGCCACCAGCACCAAUACACCCUGCACCCGCAUCCCGCGCAUGACUGGUGAGGAAAAGGAGUUUGAGGCCAUUGAGAGAGGUAUGUGCCACCAGGGGUGGGGUGGACCAUGCCCAGGGCUGGCUACGACCACUGCCUCCUUGUCCCUGCAGAUGACAGGUACAUCCACCCCCAACAGGAGGCCUUCUCCAUCCAGCUCAUCUCCCCAGUCAGCUGGGAGGCCAUUCCCAAUGCCAGGUGAUGUUGGGCCCAGUGGGGGCUUCCGGGUGCCAGCAGGGCAGGACUAGGGUGUCCUGAUACAGCCUGUCCUUGUGCAGAAUUGAGCUGGAGGAAUGGGAACACGUCACAUGCAUGAAGACAGUGUCGCUGCGCAGUGAGGAGACUGUGUCGGGCCUCAAGGGCUAUGUGGCUGCUGGGACCUGCCUCAUGCAGGGAGAGGAGGUCACGUGCCGCGGGCGGGUAAGCAGCUGCCAGGUGGGGACAGGCGGCCCUUGGCAGCCUGUCUGCCAUCCCCACAUGUUCCCUUGCCCUGCCAGAUCCUCAUCAUGGACGUGAUUGAGGUGGUGCCCGAACCUGGCCAGCCCCUAACCAAGAACAAGUUCAAGGUCCUAUACGAAAAGGAACAGAAGGGGCCUGUGACCGCCCUGUGCCACUGCAAUGGUCACCUGGUGUCAGCCAUUGGCCAGAAGGUACACAGCUACUCCUCCCUGCUGUGUUUCUGCCUGCUCACCCUGCCCACUCCACUGACCCUUCUGCCCCCUAGAUCUUCCUGUGGAGCCUGCGGGCCAGUGAGCUGACGGGCAUGGCCUUCAUCGACACCCAGCUGUACAUCCACCAGAUGAUCAGCGUCAAGAACUUCAUCUUAGCUGCAGAUGUCAUGAAGAGCAUCUCACUGCUGCGCUACCAAGAAGAGAGCAAGACGCUGAGCCUGGUGUCCCGGGUACUUCAUGUGGUCUUGGGGUACAGGUGAGAGUCAUACUCGGGCUCCUCCUGACACCUUCUGCUCCCUGACAACAGGAUGCCAAGCCUCUGGAGGUGUACAGUGUGGACUUCAUGGUGGACAAUGCCCAGCUGGGCUUUUUGGGUGAGUAGGGUCUUGGGGGAGUGUCACCCUGGGGGUGGCUGGAGCUGACUCUGGGUCUUUGCUCCCUAGUGUCUGACCGAGACCGCAACCUCAUGGUGUACAUGUACCUGCCAGAAGGUCAGUGGCUCCCUCCCUCACUUGUUUUUUUCAAUGUUUUUUAGUAGUUGAUGGACCUCUAUUUAUUUGUAUGUGGUGCUGAGAGUCGAACCCAGUGCAUCACACAUGCUAGACAAGCUAUCACUGAGCCACAACCCCAGCCCUCCCUCCCUCACUUCUACUCCGGCUGGGUAUUGGGCACUGGGUGGGCAGUGAUCUGAGUUCUUCUGUCCUAGCCAAGGAGAGCUUUGGGGGCAUGCGCCUGCUGCGCAGGGCAGACUUCCACGUGGGUGCCCACGUGAACACGUUCUGGAGAACGCCAUGCAGGGGGGCCACUGAGGGGCCCAGCAAGAAGUCGGUGGUGUGGGAGAACAAGCACAUCACGUGGUUUGGUGAGUGGGGUGGGGUAACUGAGCUCACUGCCCCCUCGAGCCACACUGGAUGACUAGGGGGUUGACCUGGCUCACGCUUCCCCCCAUCCCCAGCCACACUGGAUGGCGGCAUCGGGCUCCUGCUGCCCAUGCAGGAGAAGACCUACCGGAGGCUGCUGAUGCUGCAGAACGCACUGACCACCAUGUUGCCCCACCAUGCUGGUCUCAACCCCCGUGCCUUCCGGUGAGCACCCACCAUCCUCAGGGCUCUGCCUACCCUCCCAGGUUGCCCUGACCCCCCACACCCCCUCCCCAGGAUGUUGCAUGUGGACCGGCGCAUCCUACAGAACGCAGUGCGCAACGUGCUUGACGGAGAGCUGCUCAACCGCUACCUGUACCUCAGCACUAUGGAGCGUGGGGAGCUGGCCAAGAAGAUUGGCACGACCCCAGACAUUGUGAGUUGGCCUGCUUUCCCCCGCCCAUCCUGUCCCUGCCCUGCUGAGCCCUGCCCUGACGGCUUUCACCCUACAGAUCCUUGAUGACCUGCUGGAGACUGACCGUGUCACCGCCCACUUCUAAGCAUGUGGAUGCCACCCUGCCCCCGCACACUGCCUCCCCCCACCUUUUGUACAAAACAAGGA